UACAGAGGUCCCAAGCGUUGUUCGGAUUCACUGGGCGUAAAGGGUGCGUAGGUGGCUUGGUAAGUUCGAUGUGAAAUCUCCGGGCUUAACCCGGAAAUGGCAUUGAAUACUAUUGAGCUGGAGGUUUGGAGGGGGGACUGGAAUUCUCGGUGUAGCAGUGAAAUGCGUAGAUAUCGAGAGGAACACCAGUGGCGAAGGCGGCUCUCUAGUACGGUACUGACGCUGAGACGCGAAAGCGUGGGGAGCGAACAGG
rnacentral:rRNA from 1 species